AGUGAACGCUGGCGGUAGGCCUAACACAUGCAAAUCGAACGGCAGCACAGUAAGAGCUUGCUCUUACGGGUGGCGAGUGGCGGACGGGUGAGGAAUACAUCGGAAUCUACUUUUUCGUGGGGGAUAACGUAGGGAAACUUACGCUAAUACCGCAUACGACCUACGGGUGAAAGCAGGGGAUCUUCGGACCUUGCGCGAUUGAAUGAGCCGAUGUCGGAUUAGCUAGUUGGCGGGGUAAAGGCCCACCAGGGCGACGAUCCGUAGCUGGUCUGAGAGGAUGAUCAGCCACACUGGAACUGAGACACGGUCCAGACUCCUACGGGAGGCAGCAGUGGGGAAUAUUGGACAAUGGGCGCAAGCCUGAUCCAGCCAUACCGCGUGGGUGAAGAAGGCCUUCGGGUUGUAAAGCCCUUUUGUUGGGAAAGAAAAGCAGCAGGUUAAUACCCCGCUGUUCUGACGGUACCCAAAGAAUAAGCACCGGCUAACUUCGUG
rnacentral:rRNA from 1 species